rnacentral:rRNA from 1 species
UACGUAGGGGGCAAGCGUUGUCCGGAAUUACUAGGCGUAAAGGGCAGGCAGGCGGAUCCAUAAGUUUAUCGUUUAAGGCGUCGGCUUAACCGGCGUAGGGCGGUAGAUACUGUGGAUCUGGAAUGCGGUUGGGGAAGACAGAAUUCCUGGUGUAGCGGUGGAAUGCGCAGAGAUCAGGAGGAAUACCGAAGGCGAAGGCAGUCUUCCAAGCCGUUAUUGACGCUCAACUGCGAAGGUGUGGGUAUCAAACAGGAUUAGAUACCCCUGUAGUCCCUGA